CACAUGAAAAAUGCCAUUGCAUUUGAAGGAAGAAGAGCAGCAGGCUGAGGUCUCAGUCAGACCUGCCGACGUGGACACACCAGUGGAAGGGGACUCGGUUGAAGA